AUUGAACGCUGGCGGCAUGCCUAACACAUGCAAGUCGAGCGCGCGGCUGAAGGGUGAGGACUGUAUGGGGACUGCCCGUGAGAGGGCGGUAACUACUGGAAACGGUAGCUAAUACCGCAUACUAUCGGAUGGCCCAAAUGGGAUUUGCUGGUAGGUGAGGUAAUGGCUCACCUAGGCGACGAUCCCUAGCUGGUCUGAGAGGAUGAUCCGCCACACUGGGACUGAGACACGGCCCAGACUCCUACGGAGGCAGCAGUGGGGAAUAUUGCACAAUGGGCGCAAGCCUGAUGCAGCCAUGCCGCGUGUAUGAAGAAGGCCUUCGGGUUGUAAAGUACUUUCAGUCGGGAGGCGUUACCGACAGAAGAAGCACCGGCUAACUCCGUGCCAGCAGCCGCGGUAAUAC
rnacentral:rRNA from 1 species